UCCUACAGGAUUGUCAGAAAUGAUCAAACAUUGGCAACUUCAUACAGUUCAAGCUAACAGAUUAUAAAACUGUUCUGGACAAAUGCGAUGUUUUAUUUAACUGUAUCCCUUGCUGUCCUGGCUACUGAGCGAAUGUUGAACCAGCUCAGCCCUGACGCUGGGGCAGACCGAGGGGCUACUAAAUGAAUACAGAGCAACAGAAUUCCAGGGGGCCCACGUCAUCCCAGAGACUUCUAAACCGCACUGAGGGAUUUACCAGGAAGCCGGCUGGCGUUCCCAGAGCCAGCCCUCUGAAUUCCCUGUGCUGGAACUGCCUCCGCCGGGAAGUUAGCUGCAGUCCUGCCCCCUGGGCACCAUGGAGGCAGCACAGCAAGAGGUGAAGACUUUGAGAUCAAGGAGAAAAAACACGAGACUUCAACUACAUUACAACUUGCUACCCCGAGUGGUCACCAUAAAGAGCAUGUCCAGCAAGGUGUGGUCUAGGAUACUUCUGUUUCCAAAGGAGCACACUCUAAAAGGUCUGCCAUGAUGGACCCCUUCGCCUGACCACAGAAGGCGUCUGAAGUGGCACGCCAGUCUUCUUCCCAGAUCAGUCCUUGGCGGCCUGGCAUCUCUCUUUGAUGUCUGUGAGUCUGAAGGAGAUGGAAGAGGACA